GGUGGCUCAGUGGUAGAGCGCUUGCCUCACAUGCAUAAGGCCCUGGGUUCGAUUCCUCAGCACCA
rnacentral:tRNA from 1 species